CAUGUAUCAGUGGGGUCCCUCAGCCUGGCCUGCGUCCUCUUGCAAUCUGGGACCCCUAGGGGCAUGUUGGAAAGCCAGUUUCGGUCCACUCCUGCAGGCUAGGCUGAGGGACCCCACUGGUGCACG
rfam:Myotis brandtii contig196688, whole genome shotgun sequence.